UGACAGUCUCCUUCAGGAAGCUGUUUGAGGAUUAAUGGAGAGAGGCUUGGGAUCCAGGAGUCUGGGACAUGCUGCUCGUAUCAGCUCCUCUGAAGUCUGUGCGGUCCCGGGAGACUUCACUUCCCUUCCCGGUUCCCGGCAGCACGUUGCCUUUAUUCGGAGUUAACUACUAGACCUAAUUAAACAGCAUCAUCUCCUCAGAGUGGCUGAUUUUCUUCCCUUCUGAAUACAAAUUAAACUUCCAUGCCGUUAACAUUCAG
rnacentral:lncRNA from 1 species